GGGAUGGAGAGGGAAGGAGAUGAACUGCAGAGGUUUAAAAGGUGAAAUUUAUUGGCCCUGAAUCAUCAUAAGAUGUGAAGAUUGAGACAUGCAGCUAUGGGGGAGCAGCUAACCAGCCCUCACCAUUCCAAAAGCUUUGAUUGCUCUUCUUAUCACCUAAACCUUAAGAGUUGUUGACUCAGGUGCUGAAAACAUCAGGCUGAAAGCAUCAGUCGAUUUAAAAUACGCCUGUGCCGACAAGAGAAUGGGAAAUGGGAUACAGGUUUUACCUUGAAGGCUGACUGAAGGGGGAUGACCCAUGGUGAAUGUCACAGGUCAACUGGGCAGACUGUGUCCAAGCGAGUCAGCAUGUGCUAAGGAUUUCUUGCUAUUUGUUCUUGUCUUUAUUUUUCCAAUGUGGUUGAAUCUCUGUACAUUUAGCCUUAUAAACAUCUCCCCCACUACUAAUAACCAGAGAAAAAAAUGUUUGUAAUAAAAAUGUACAAUCUAGAGAUCAAACCAUUUUACAAAAGUUUCAAAAAUAUUUAUAUUUUCUUAGCAAA